rnacentral:lncRNA from 1 species
UCUCACUCUCUGACAAGGUUUUGCUAAGUUGCCAAGGCUCACGAUUCUCCUGCCUCAGCCUCUGAGUAGCUGGGAUUACAGGUGUGGUUCCUGCAUCUGGAUGUUUUUGUUGAGUGCUAUUAGUUAUUAUUAAAUUUCAGACACCAGUCCUCCCUCCCUCCCUCCCUCCCUCCCUCCCUUCCUUUCUUCCCUGCCUUCCUGCUUUCUUCCCUUCCUGUGAUUCCUUUUCUAUGUCGGCCUCACUGGCUUAGACAGUGGUCGGAGAGCUGAGAAAACAUCACUUCUGGAUGUUUCUGAAGCGAUGUUUCCGGGAGAAACCAACAUUUGACUGAGAAGACUGAGGAGAGAAGUUGGCCUGUACGAGGCAUCUGAUCCGCCCAGGACUGGAUUGGAACACAAAGGCGGCGGAAGGCAAAGCUGACCUCAGCCGAGCUGUGGCGCCUCUUCUCCCGCCACUGGCGCUGGGCUCCUGGUCCUUGGCCUCUGUGUGCGCUGGACCCAGCCUGCUGUGUGCGCUGGACACAGCCUGCUGCCUUUCCUGGGCUCUGCUUGCAGAUGGCUCUGAGUGAGGGGCUCCCUCCCAGUUGUCGCGAAGGCUGCUGUCUAGUUGAGUCGCUUCUGUAGCGGGAACAGUCAGCGUCAUUAAUUUUCCCCUGCACUGUGUGGGCCGUGGAACAUGAAACUGACUUGAUGGAUCACAGUGCCACUUCGGA